GAUGAACGCUGGCGGCGUGCCUAAUACAUGCAAGUCGAGCGAACAGACGAGGAGCUUGCUCCUCUGACGUUAGCGGCGGACGGGUGAGUAACACGUGGAUAACCUACCUAUAAGACUGGGAUAACUUCGGGAAACCGGAGCUAAUACCGGAUAAUAUAUUGAACCGCAUGGUUCAAUAGUGAAAGACGGUUUUGCUGUCACUUAUAGAUGGCUCCGCGCCGCAUUAGCUAGUUGGUAAGGUAACGGCUUACCAAGGCAACGAUGCGUAGCCGACCUGAGAGGGUGAUCGGCCACACUGGAACUGAGACCCGGUCCAGACUCCUACGGGAGGCAGCAGUAGGGAAUCUUCCGCAAUGGGCGAAAGCCUGACGGAGCAAAGCCGCGUGAGUGAUGAAGGUCUUCGGAUCGUAAAACUCUGUUAUUAGGGAAGAACAAAUGUGUAAGUAACUAUGCACGUCUUGACGGUACCUAAUCAGAAAGCCACGGCUAACUACGUG
rnacentral:rRNA from 1 species